CCAAGUGCACCUGAACCCCAGGUUCCUUUACCCGAGCGAUUUUCAGGAGGAUGGAUUAAGUAUGACAUUUUUAUGAUGUCCUGAGGGUUAUUAUUUACUUUGAAACCACUCACCUAUGAUAGUGACUUUAUAAAAGUUCACUCUAUGAUUUCUCUACUCUCAGGAGAAUCCAUAACCUGGGUCCGUCCUCUCCUUCGCAAGCAAAGCCCUCUUCUGAACAGCUGGGGUUCUUUCAAGCUGAC